CGCCGUUCUGCCUCCACCCUGUCUGCCUCGCUCAAGUGCACGAUGGCCAGGUGGAUGGAUGACCCUCCCAACCUCACCUCCCAGGUUUCCCUGAGGGAACGCAGCCCCUACUGGAUCCUACUGGACCUGGGUUCUGAGAUGACCCUUCCACAUGAAGAAAGAGAGUCCAGGGCUGGUGGGGGCAUCGCAGCUUCCUGGGGCCCUGCAGGAGACGGAAGAAGCCAGGGUGCUCAUCACACAGGCCUCCAGCUUUCUCCAGGGGCUGGACCUGGGGACCAGCCUGGGGUAUGGGUUCCUUCCUCUCCCCAUCCCCAGCCUGCCAGCCCCUCCCGGAUGGAGGUGGGAGUAAGAUGCCCCCCCGCUGGAGAGCCUUUUUCUGUAGCUGUGCAGGGGUGGGAGUAGGGGAGACAGGGCUUUGUCUAAUAAGAGGAAUCCAUCAAGUUUGCUAAACCACUUUCCCUCUGGAGCCAUGCGGCUCCUCUCCAGGGAGCUUGGCCUGGCCAGGCCUGCAAGCGGUGCCUCCUCCCAGCCCCACCCUGCCUUUUGUCUUUGUCUCUGACAUCUGCGUUCCUUCUGAGUGUGCUUUGCUUCUUUCUGCUGCUCGAUGGCUAAUAGGAUUGAGCGGGAAGGCGCCAGGAGAGCCGGCAGCCCGGCCUGGGAGGGGCUCUCACUCUUCCUCUGCCAGAAGCCUUAUCGAGCGCAGGGUGUUUGACUUCAGAAACACAUCCCCACGGCUUUCCUUUCCGCCUUCCUUCUGGGACUGAUUUGUUUACUUCUUUCAGAGGUUCGCCGUCCCUCUUUCUGCAGGGGUUUGCUGGAUCACAGGUCCCCAGUGCCCCGGACAUAGUGUGUGAGGAAUGCGGGUAUGAGAGAUACUAACAUAGGCAAAGUCGGCUCAUCUCAUCCAACCUCACCACCCUGUGCAUUGCAACCCCACAGUGCAAUGUAAAGAUGGGGAAACAGGCCCAGAGACUCAAGAGAAAUGAAACGAGUGGAGAUUGAGACUGAACUGGACCGGGAUCCGGGCCCCACAGCUGGGCUUGUCCCGAGGCUGUGUGCUGCCCCCGGAGCUCCUUGGAUGGAGAAGCGCUCCCUGCCCCUCCCUGCUCCAUGCCUGGCUUAGACACACGGCGGCCCUGCUCAUGCCUGAAAUUCCACCCUUAGCCACCCUCCCCUGUUUGGCAUUGCCCUCGCACCCCCUCUCGAGGGACACAGAAACCCCGCGUGUGGGUGUCCUCACUGCAGGUCUCCCUACCUGGCAGGCGGGGAAUGUUUUGGGGCAGGUGGUGGGCAAUGGAGGAGAAACAGUAAGCAGGGAUUUCAGGAAGAAGAAAACGCCAGCAAGAUCUGAUCCUGGUCCUCAAAGAGCAUGGAGACCCUCUUUAUACAAAUGGGAAUACUGAGGUAUGCAGUUCGAGAGGAUUGACCGAGGCCAUUUGGCUGGUUGAAGAGCGAUGCUGCGUGUCCAGAGCAGCGGGUGUGGGAGGCAGAGCCUGGAGCUCCCAGAGCCGGCGGCCCACGGCCUCGCCUCCAGCCAGGAGGGUGCGGAAUUCUCCCCCACCCAGCAGAGGCUCUGGCCAUCUGUCUCCAAGGAUGCGGGGGAGCGGACCGGCUGUGCCGCUCUAGGGCUGCUCCGCCUGACAGACAGCAGUGUCGACCACCCAUGUUUGCUGCACAGACUCUAGCUUCCACACCCCUCCCCACCCCAGCAGCCUGGGGAAGGAAGGCUGGAGGUCCCUGCAUGACGGGUGAGGAGAGAGGACAGGAGCCCGGUGCUCUGAACACCGCCCCAGCCCAGCUGCACGUCAGGACCCCGCACUGGCCUCUUACAUUGAGAAGCCAAGACCCACCCAAAACCCAGCUAUCAAAGUCUCUGGGGACAGCACCAGCAGGGCAGAGGGCGUUGGUUCCCUUAGAAUGUGCUAGAAGGCUCAUCCCUGCAGGAGGUGCCCCUGCAGGCAUCCUUGCCCCCACACUGCCUGGUGCUGCCCACCUGCUCACUUGCAGGUGACCCUAGUUUCUCAGUGGCUCGGCAGCCUCGCGGGCUGUUGUAACACUGACACCACGUCUGUGAGAUCAUUGGCUUGGAAGAUUCAGCUCAGAAUUGGAUAGAAGGGCCCUGCCCUGCCAGGCACAGCUGCCGGCCCUUGUCACCUGCAGCUGCAUGAGAAACUAAGGCUCAAACCAAAUCCUUCUGGACAGAAAAGCAGGUCCCCCUCCACUACCCCUUCGUCUGGGCUCUCGGUCAGCGGGGUCAGGGUGGCCGGGACAGUCACUCUCAUUUCCAGAGGAGGCGAGAGGCAGAUGAAGGCCAUGGACAGCAAGCCAUGGGGCCACAGCACAGCCUCAGGUCGUUGCUGACACACCUGCGCCUCCCACAGCCCUCCCCAGGAAAGCCGCGGCAGAGCUCACCCCACUCCCAGGGUGCUCACCUGGGACCUCCUCACCUCUGCACCUGCCCUGGGUAUCCUCAGCCGUGACCCUGGCCUGGCAGUGCCGGCGGACAGGUUGCAACCAGCCCAGCUCCCCAGGGGUGAGAGGGGCCCAUCACCGGCCACCCACAGGCAUCCCUGGGUCUGCUUUUUGGAGCAGUGUCCGGGGUUCCCUUCAUAUCCUUUAUAUCUAUGUGAACCUGACCGGCACACUCACUCCAGGCCCAGGUGUUCUGUAAACACUGAACACCAUGCUGUUAACCAAGGUUACGUUAAAAAGUGACUAUGUGGCCAGGAAAUAGAUUUUGUAUAGUUAUGUGCUGUUAGGAUAGAUACGGGUUUUCGUCUGCGGCUCCUGGCUUAUAACUCCCAUAGCACUUGUUCCCAUUUGCGUUAGAAUGUUGGGGGUGUUGAGCCUCAUGGGCAGCCUCUGCCUUCUCCUGCCCUCCUUUCACCUGCCCCAAGGCGGCACCCUAACUUUCUCCUGCCUUUCGGAUUGUGGGUCUUAAGACCCUCCCAUGAGAGGGUCCCAUCCUAUGCCAUGGGGGAAGGAAUGCUGACAUCAUGAAGCUUCCAUAAAAUCCCAAGAGGACUCGGUUCAGUGCGGUUCCUGGAGUGUGGCGCGCCCAGCAAGGAUGUGGGAGCUCUGCGUCCCUUCCUCCCACUUCGGUCUACGCAUCUCUUCAUCUGCAAUAUUCUUUUUCAUUAAUCUAUAAAUGUGUUUGCCUGA
rnacentral:lncRNA from 1 species